GUAUCUUGUGGCAUCGUUCCCGCGCAGCGAUGCGCCGCCUCUCACAGGAUGCCACCACGGACCCUGGGGCACGCCCGGGAGCCUGCUUCCAACAGGUCCCGAAGAUGGGUGUGGCGGCGAUCCCUUCUGGGUCACGAGGGUACUACCAUGAAAUAGCCUCCGGGUCACUCCACGACGGCAGGACACGGGGGACUGAACCUCCGCUAAGCCCCUAAUGUUACCCCCCAACUAUCGCCUCUUGGCACGGUAGGCGCGGUUGGCGUUACUACCAUCGAAGCUAAUGCGACACUACUCAGUCUUAUCCGACGUUCCGACCAGAAGCAUGUAAACCUCUAUCGGAGUCACCUUUACCCAUGGCAGCUACAACCAAACAACUAAUCAGAAAGACAAGUCGAUCGAGAUAAAUAGUUUGGAGACCCGCCAACAAACGGCCCCGUCGAGCCCCGCCCCGCCCCGCCCGUCUCUGCCCCGUCCUCUGCGCCCUUUGUGUCAG